AGGAAUAUUGGUCAAUGGACGCAAGUCUGAACCAGCCAUGCCGCGUGAAGGAUGAAGGUCCUCUGGAUUGUAAACUUCUUUUAUCUGGGACGAAAACGGGAUUUUUAUCUCAAUUGACGGUACCAGAGGAAUAAGCACCGGCUAACUACGUGCCAGCAGACGCGGUAAUACGUAGGCAGCAAGCGUUGUUCGGAGUUACUGGGCGUAAAGAGUGCGUAGGCGGUUUUCUAAGUUCCGUGUGAAAUCUCCCGGCUUAACUGGGAGGGUGCGACGAAGACUGGGAAGCUGGAGUGUGGGAAAGGCCGGCGGAAUUCCUGGUGUAGCGGUGAAAUGCGUAGAUAUCAGGAGGAACACCGGCGGUGUAGACGGCUUGCUAGACCAUAACUGACGCUGAGGCACGAAAGCGUGGGUAGCAAACA
rnacentral:rRNA from 1 species